rnacentral:sRNA from 1 species
GACCCAGGUGGCUGGGGUGGCAGCUGAUCAUGUCAGGAGGACUCCUCUGCACAGCAUCACAAGCACAGGAGAGAAUGCUAAACUUGACUGGGAGCUCACAGAAGACCCCUGGAACCCAGAGCAAUAAGGGAAAUUUGGACCCAGAGAUACAUUCAGAGAGAAGAUGAUGUGAAGGCACAGGAAGGAUGCCCUGUGAACAUCAGGACCAAGGCCUGCAAACCUAGGAGAGAGGUCUACAACAGGUCCUUCCCUCGCAGCCCUCAGAUCAAACUAACCCUGCAAGUACCUUGAUUUUGGACUUCCGGCUUCCAGAAUUGAGCAAAAAUAACUUUCUGUUGAAGCCGUCCAGUCUUGAAGCCACCUAGUCUGUGGUGCUUGGUUACCGCGGCCCUGGCAAACUUGCCUGAGGCUUUCCGAAUUACAGCCCCGUUUUGUCACAGGGGAAGAAUUCUAAGAAGUUCUUUAUUUGGCCAAGUGAGGGAUAGAAGAAUAAUGAGCAUUUCCCUCGUCACCGCUCUGACAACUGCCUCAGCCACACACGGCUUAGGAGAUUGGCUACUUCCUCCACCUUCAGCUUACAGGGGGCUUCAGUAAUAAAUGUGUAGAAGUGUUUGGUCUUCUCAAUGCUGGGAAUCCAGGGAGUAUGGCCUGGCAUACAUGGAAACCAGUCCCCUAAAGACCUCAUUGACACAGGCCUCAUUUGGGGGUCUCCUUCUCAGGCACUUCCCCCUUGGCUCCUGAGGCCAGAACCUGACCCUGCUGUGUCUCUCUUCCAUGCAUCUUUUUGCCAUCUCUGCUGUCUGGAAUCUGCAACAAUAUGAGGGUGCUCAGGACUUCGAUGUUGCUGCUGACGUCAGCAUGCCCCAGUCCAAAUCUACCGUUUCCCUCCUGGGCCCACAUCCGCUUCUGCUCCCCACUUCCCCAAUGUCUUCAUUCUUUUCAUCACAUGCUGACCAAAGAGUCAUCUUUAGGCACUCUCUGUGUCCCUUCUGCUACAUCCACUCUGUUGCCACAUCUCCUAAAUUCUUCCGUCUGAUUUCUUCUCACUCUUUCUUUCCACCCUGGGUCAGUCCAUUGGGGCCCCAUGUCAGGACACCGGAUGACACUGUUUGGACACCUGGAAGGAUCGGGUAAAGGAUACAGAGAAGUCUAAGGAGGGAUAGGGUGAGUCUGAGAUGUGCUGUGGUUUAGGCACCAGGUAAAGCUAAUUGGGGGGUGGGUGAGGAAUGGGGUGAGGGUAUCUAUUGCAUAUAUUUUAUGGUAAUAAAAGGAAGUUGAAAGUUCA